CAAGUCGAGCGGUAACAGGUGUAGCAAUACAUGCUGACGAGCGGCGAACGGGUGAGUAAUGCUUCGGAAUCUUCCUCGUAGUGGGGAAUAACCUGGGGAAACUCAGGCUAAUACCGCAUACGAACUACGGUUGAAAGCAGGGGAUCGCAAGACCUUGCGCUAUGAGAUGAGCCGAAGUCGGAUUAGCUAGUUGGUGAGGUAAAGGCUCACCAAGGCGACGAUCCGUAGCUGGUCUGAGAGGACGACCAGCCACACUGGGACUGAGACACGGCCCAGACUCCUACGGGAGGCAGCAGUGGGGAAUAUUGGACAAUGGGGGCAACCCUGAUCCAGCGACGCCGCGUGUGUGAAGAAGGCCUGCGGGUUGUAAAGCACUUUUAGUGGGGAUGAAAAGCCGAGGGCUAAUACCUUUCGGUCUUGACCUAACCCAAAGAAAAAGCACCGGCUAACUCUGUGCCAGCAGCCGCGGUAAUACAGAGGGUGCAAGCGUUAAUCGGAAUUACUGGGCGUAAAGCGUGCGUAGUCGGUUAUCUAAGUCGGAUGUGAAAUCCCCGGGCUCAACCUGGGAAUUGCAUUCGAUACUGGAUAGCUAGAGUUCGGCAGAGGGAAGCGGAAUUUCGGGUGUAGCGGUGAAAUGCGUAGAUAUCCGAAGGAACAUCAGUGGCGAAAGCGGCUUCCUGGACCAGAACUGACGAUCAGGCACGAAAGCGUGGGGAGCAAACAGGAUUAGAUACCCUGGUAGUCCACGCCAUAAACGAUGACAACUAGACGUUGGGAGGGUAAGCCUCACAGUGUCGCAGCUAACGCGUUAAGUUGUCCGCCUGGGGAGUACGGGCCGCAGGGUGAAACUCAAAG
rnacentral:rRNA from 1 species